GUGCUCGUUUCAGCAGCACACAUAUAAAAUUGGAAAGAUACUGAGAAGAUUAUCAUGGGCCCUGUGCAAGGAUGACACGCAAAUUCAUGAAGUGUUCCAUAUUAAA